ACAUGACUGCAGAGAAGUGAAUGGUAAACCUCAAUGUUUUUGCUUCAAAGGAUUCAAUCAGAAUGGAAAAUCAUGUAUAGACAAAAAUGAAUGCAGUAAGAACAACGGAGGAUGUCAAAAUACAUGUCACAAUACCCCUGGCUCAUUCUACUGCAGUUGUGAGACAGGGUACAGACUGGCAGAUGAUCGCACCACAUGUGUAGAUAUAAAUGAGUGCUUGUUACGGAACGGACAUGGACCGUGCCAGGGACAGUGUGACAAUGUGGAGGGUGGCUACCAAUGCUCCUGUGAGGGUGUACCUGGCACUCGGCUAGCUGAGGACAACACCAGCUGUGAGGACAUAGAUGAGUGCAGUGAU